rnacentral:rRNA from 1 species
GACGAAUGCUGGCUGCGUGCUUAACACAUGCAAGUCGAACGGUGAAGGAGGGCUUGCCCUCCGGAUCAGUGGCGAACGGGUGAGUAACACGUGGGCAGCCUGCCCCUCACUCUGGGAUAACGCCGGGAAACCGGCGCUAAUACCGGAUACGACCAGGCGCGACAUCUCGCCUCGUGGACAGCAUUUAGGUGAGGGAUGGGACCGCGGGCUGUCAGCUUGUUGGUGGGGUAGCGGCCCACCAAGGCGACGAAGGGUAGCCGGCCUGAGAGGGCGACAGACCACACUGGGGCUGAGACACGGCCCAGACUCCUACGGGAGGCAGCAGUGGGGAAUAUUGCGCAAUGGGCGAAAGCCUGACGCAGCGACGCAGCGUGAGGGACGAAGGCCUUCGGGUUGUAAACCUCUUUCAGCGGGGACGAAGCGAAAGUGACGGUACCCGCAGAAGAAGCACCGGCUAACUACGUGCCAGCAGCCGCAGUAAAAC